CUCAUGGAUUGGCUCUCUCUGCAGGGCAGCUCCCCUUGUGAUUUCUGCUGCAGCUCCGUCAGUCAUGUGAAAACCUAAGAAAUUACAGGCAUCUUCUCUGCCUGCGAGACCAUCAAUAAUGGAAAAGGAUUUUUCCAGUGCUUUUUAGGCCAGAGAGAGAGAGGGAAGGAAGGAAGAAAAGAGCAAGACAAAGAGGAAGCAAGCCAGUGGAACAGUGAAUGCUGUAAUGCAAAGGUUCCUGGGACUCCAGCUUGUAGGAACAGAGUGACUUCUGCUUACGCAUAUGUCUGUAUCACAUUCCUCACCACUCAGGAGAGGUAUCAAGAUUAAAGGAAUAUAUGGAAGCAUUUUAAAAAUAUGAG
rnacentral:lncRNA from 13 species